rnacentral:rRNA from 1 species
AUUGAACGCUGGCGGCAGGCCUAACACAUGCAAGUCGAGCGGAUGAAGGGAGCUUGCUCCUGGAUUCAGCGGCGGACGGGUGAGUAAUGCCUAGGAAUCUGCCUGGUAGUGGGGGAUAACGUCCGGAAACGGGCGCUAAUACCGCAUACGUCCUGAGGGAGAAAGUGGGGGAUCUUCGGACCUCACGCUAUCAGAUGAGCCUAGGUCGGAUUAGCUAGUUGGUGGGGUAAAGGCCUACCAAGGCGACGAUCCGUAACUGGUCUGAGAGGAUGAUCAGUCACACUGGAACUGAGACACGGUCCAGACUCUUACGGGAGGCACCAGUGGGGAAUAUUGGAGAAUGGGCGAAAGCCUGAUCUAGCCAUGCCGCGUGUGUGAAGAAGGUCUUCGGAUUGUAAAGCACUUUAAGUUGGGAGGAAGGGCAGUAAGUUAAUACCUUGCUGUUUUGACGUUACCAACAGAAUAAGCACCGGCUAACUUCGUG